UUUCAGGCUCUUUGUUAACCAAAGAAGUUGGGAGGUUGUAGAAAUUAUUGGAGGUGUAUUUAAGCUGAAAAGUUGAGCUACUGUGAACCAUCUUCAAGAUUAAAUACCAUCAAGGCUGAAGAUUUUAGUAAUGCUCAAGAAUUUGGCAAGUGGUUGGAGAGCAGUUGAAUUACUUUGGUCCAUGAAGCUGACAUUCAAGUUGUAAUUUUCUACAUUGGGCGGAGUUAAGAGAACUUUCCAGAUAGAACUUUCCAGAUAGAACUUUCCAGAUAGAACUUUCCAGAUAGAACUUUCCAGAUAGAACUUUCCAGAUAGAACUUUCCAGAUAGAACUUUCCAGAUAGAACUUUCCAGAUUAGCUGAAGGAUAUUUGACAUUACAUGGACGUGGUAAAGGAAACUCUUGUUAAUUUGUCUGGUUAAUGUUUAAUCAUACAGAAUAAUGUUUUUGGGGGAUGCUGGUCAAUUUAGAUUUCAAAACUUUCAAGUUUAGCAACCAAUUUGGAAGUGAACCAGGAUAUUUACUAUAUACCUUAAUUGAAAAUUUCACAGUAAAGUAAAUUCGGAGUAAUAUUUGUCAAGCCUUGUAAAUAGUCUGAUAAAAGUCAAGUUUAUUUUGGUCACGUUUUUACUGUAAAUCCUUAAUAAUUUUUACUUUUGUUGAAAAAAAAAUGAAAAGUAAGAUGAAGGUAGAUUAAAAUAUGUAGAUUUCUAGCAGCUUCAGUAAUGCACAAAUAAGAAUAAGGUUCCAACAGCCCUAAGAACAGUGAAUUACUGGCUAUUGUGAUAAAAAGAAAGUAUUACAUUUUUCAUUGGAAUGGAAGGCAGUAUUAGUUUUCUAGUAUAGGAAGGACUUUUACGUGGUCCUUGAUUGGUAUUUUUACUGAUAAACCUGUUCUUUCAGUGGUCUUUCCUGGGAACAUGGGCUUUCUUUGCAACUUAAACAAGUUUUGAUUUACGUUGUAAUUUUGAGCUAACCAUGUGUUUUUUGUAGUUUGAACUCACUGUUUGUUGCCAGGAAACUUAACAAUCUAGACCAUAUGAUAGAGAAUAGUAGCAGUCAUUGUACACUAAUGUCAAGUUAGCUAAGGUUUGUGUUACAUAGUGUUUAAAAUAAUUUGAGUAUGAAAGCCCCAUUUUAUCAACGGAAUUGUGUGCGUGUGUGGAUUCUAUCUACUAUAGAAGACGUGAAUUGUUCAAUUAAGAUGGCACAUAUUGUAGAUAAACAACCCUAAAAGACUUGAGAAAAUGAGUUCUUUGGUUUGGCUACAAAAAAUAAUCAUAAAUUGAUUCAUAUAUGGAGCAUGUAUUUUUGGUCUGAACUUGCAUUUAAGUUUUAUUUCUUUAAAUAUGACUAUUCAGUUUAGCGUAAAUUGCCAGCUGAUAUUCAUCAAGACAAUUGUCUUUAGUUACGAAAGUGCUUUUGUAAUUAAUAAAAUUAUGAUUUUGUGCACUUUAAUAUAGGUUACACUUAAAAGAUAGCUAUUUAAAAUUGGUUGAAAUUUAUGAACACAAAUUAGCAUCAUACCAACUUGACAGGUUUUGGCUGCUGCAUAAAAUGUUGCAAUGAUAAAAGGUGCAAUAAAAAAGUUUAAUACUAUUCACAAAUUAUUUUUAAACUUUAACAUUUGUUUAAACAUUAUAACUAGGGCAAUAUAGCAAGAGAAUGGUGUUACAGGUCAUAGUUCAGUCCGCUUUCCAUGGUUGAACUGAAUACUAACUACAAAAUAUAUACAAUAUCCAGUAUUCUGAAAAUUUAACUGUCCAGAUUGUAAUGUUACUAAUUUCGUUCAUAAAAUCUAAUUACCCAGAUCUUGACUGUACUCGCAUUUAGGUAAUCCUGUAGGGUAAUUCAUUAUUUUUUAUCAGCCAUGUUUUUUUUUUUUUUUUUUUAUGAAAUUCCUCUGUUUGCCCAUCACUUUACAUUAGUCUUCUAUUAAUAUCUUAUGGGCCUGUCCACACGACCGGGCCUGAUCGGCGGACCUCCCCUCUAACGGGCACACUUGACAGGCAAACAGUCAAAUUGCUCGAUGGGUCAUGUAGCAAAAUCACCAUGGUGGUGCCCGAUAGCUUGAGCUUCGACCCUGGCAGACGCACCAUGUUUAUCGUACCGCACUGAACACACUACUGGCAUCGACGGGCACGCCCACCUCUCCAUCGCCUCACCCGUAUGGACAACAUUCACCGGUGAUAUGUACAAAAAGAAAGCCUUAAAUCAGAGUGAAUAAUGAAGUCAUAGAGGAAAGAAUGACCUACUUCAUGAAGCAGCGAUCUUUUUAGUACUCAGAUAUAAAAACUAAAAAUCGAAUCUCUAGUAACCAUUGUCUAACAAGUCAGCAGGAAUCCUACUAAAGUCAAAAUCCUUGAGAUUAUUAAAUGGAAGAACCAAGUGAAGUAAGCCAGCGAACAUCUGAUCAAACUACCAGACAAGUUGUUCCCUGCUUCUGCCAGUGCACUACAGCAACUCGUGGAGGCGAGUGUGUUCUCAGCAGAAAGCAAAGAUCAAACGGGUGUUUUGUCACCUGUCCAUUUGAGAUGAUGUGUCCAACUCUCGAGACUCGUAAACAGUAAAGCUCAGAUUUCAACGUCUGGUUAUUAAGAGAUGGAAGAGGAAGUCCUCUUGUCAUUGUGGUUUUCUGCUCAAAUAUCUUUCCUAGUUCCUCUUCUCAGUAAUGAAAAACUAGGGUUUCCAAUUGUGACUUACAAGACAAGGGUAAUUUUGAUUUUAAACGAUACUUGGCAACUUAGUAGUCAGUUAUCAACAAUAACAAUACCUUAAAUUGGUAUUCCUAACUUGGCUAAUGUUAUCGAUUUUAGAAAUUCUUAGUUGACAUAGAAAACUAAUACUUUGAGUUCAGUUUAGUUUGCGUUCGACCAGAAUACGUUCUCUGUGCCCAAAAAGGUUUUCGACACUGGUCCAUAAUACUUUUUUUUUUCAUAUAAAAAUUAUUUACAUUUACAGAAUAGUCUUUUUAUAAAGCUGUUAUAUUUAUCAUUGCUCAUCUAGAUUAUCAGUUGUUGUUUACAAUAAAUUCGAUAAGAGAAAACCCUUUUAUUUCAGUUUUAAAACUUUUCGUGUCACGUUUAUAAUUUCA